GCAACGUUCGCGGGAAGUCUAACCGCUUGAAGCACGUUGCAGAGUCGAGACCAGUUGAGCGGCCGGAAUUUUACGAACGAUUAUGCAAGCGUACGUCUUGAGGACGACCAUGAGCCACAUAUCAUCUCAAAUUUCUGCCCGUCAAGCCUUGUGACGAAACAGAAUCGGACUUCUUCAAGGCGCGGAUCCUAAAGUUGUUUGGAUCGCAGAGUGACUCGGAAACCCAGUGACAGUAAGCGGGUGCUAGUACCUCCAACGAGAUGAGUGACUGCCCGGGAGGGCUGGAGGAAGCUUGUAUGAGACAGAUGGCCUCCUUGGCGAAUUGUAACCGGCAGACCUUCAAACCGCACAAAGGCUAAGCAAAGCCACAACUGGAUGCAGCAAGACUAAAAGCUUUAUAAUAUACUGUAAGGACUAUGGCUUUAUAAUAAGCCUUUUAUAGCAAAACAUACUAAUCUGAAAAGCGUUG